ACUGCUCGCUGCGGAUACUCCAGGCGUCUCCCGUUGCGGCCGCUCCCUGCCUUAGAGGCCAGCCUUGGACACUUGCUGCCCCUUUCCAGCCCGGAUUCUGGGAUCCUUCCCUCUGAGCCAACAUCUGGGUCCUGCCUUCGACACCACCCCUAGGCUUCCUACCUUGCGUGCCUGGAGUCUGCCCCAGGGGCCCUUGUCCUGGGCCAUGGCCCAGAAGGGGGUCCUGGGGCCUGGACAGCUGGUGGCUGUGGCCAUUCUGCUGUAUCUUGGAUUACUCGGGUCGGGGACAGGAGCGGAAGGGGCAGAAGGUGAGACUUUCCUCGGAGAGGGAGGAGGGGAGGGGGAGGUGACUUGGAUCGGAUUCCCCUGGGGUUUAACCAGUGCCUGGCCUUCAGCGGGGCUGCCUUCCAACUAGAUUCUCUUAGGGCUCCCAGAGUGGGGGGUUGUAGCCCUCACCUUACAGGCAGAGAAGCAGGGACUUGCCCAGGGCACACCGCCAGUGAAGGUGCAGCUGGGAUUCAGAUCCACGUCUGACUCCCAAAGUGGGGCAAUCGAGGUGGUUUUUUUGGUUUGGUUUUGUCUUUUGAAACAGGGUCUGGGUCUGUCGUCACCCAGGCUGGAGUGCGGUGGCACGAUCACAGCUCACUGCAGCCUCGGUGAUCCAGCCUCCCGGGCUCACGUGAUCCUCCCACCUCAGCCUCCCUAGUGGCUGGGACUACAGGUGCAUGCCACCACACCCAGCUAGUUGUGUUUUGUUUUGUUUUUGUUUUUUUUUGGUAGAGAUGUGGGUCUCACUAUGUUGGCCGGACAGGUCUUGAACUCCUGGGCUCAAGCGAUCCUCCUGCCUUGGCCUCCCAAAGUGCUGGGAUUACAGGUGUGAGCCACCGUUCCUGUCCUCGAGGUGGUUUUGAGGGAACCAAACCAAGGGUCUCCUUUCUUGGAAGGCACCCAACCCAGCUCUGAGUCAGACUGGCUUUCAAUCCUGGCUUCCCCAUGCACUGGCUGUGUGUCAUUGGCCAAGUCCCCCCACUUUUCUAAGCCUUAGACUCCUCACCUCUAAAAUGAAGCUGGUCAUGUCCGUCUCCUGGGGCUGUGGAGAGGAUGCAGGGAGAUGAAGAAGCGAAAGCCCCUCCAGGGCCUGGCACAGCCGCUAGGCUCUCUAAAUAGUGGCUAUUGUCAUGAUGAUAAGGGAGAGAAGGAUCUGGAAUGCAGUUUUCUCUGCUCCUAGAUGACUUUGUGAAGAGCAGUUGGGCUCCACUCCAAAGUGGCCUCGAUGGGGGUGGGGCUGGGGCUGUCCUGGAAACUAGACAUUCAUGUCACGGGAGCCCAGUUCUGCUGUUGGUUUGUUGAAUAUAUGCCCACAACGCCACAGGCACUGCAGACAUGAGAAUCUGCCCCUAGGGAAUGCGC
rnacentral:sRNA from 1 species